AUCUCUACUUGGAGACUGCUUUCUCUGGAGUGUUUGAUGAGGCCUGAUCUUCAGAAAGGGGGAGAUUUUCAAGAGUCCUACAAUCAGUAUCUCAAAGCCUUCUGAAGAUAUAACCAUUUAUUGCAGCGCUUGGCUGGGUAAUGUUUCAGGGGAAAAAAAUGUCAUCCUGUCUGAAUACACCAUGUUAGCAAGAGAGGAAAUGUACCUAUCGACAGAUGAAUAGACAAAAAGAGCCUGCAAUGCUUGAGAAAUAACUGGGACUUCUCAAUCAUUUCUAUCUACCUGACAGCAAAGUUCACCUGUGAAGCAAGGGCAAAGUCUAAACAGCUACAGCAUAAUUUGAAAAACACUGAUGGGAGUGGGGUUGUGGAGUAAGAGCACCAGAGUGCUGAUGGGUCUGGUGCGUUCCUGUUAUAUACUGAUGGCAGGGAUUGCACAAACAGAGCUUCCUGGGCUGGCCUGAAAUCUCAAGAGGAGCACUGUAUCACAGCAGGAAUAGGCUGAAAUUCAUGGAAGCUUCAGCAAAGGAGCAAAGCAAUCAGUGCGUUUCCUUGCUUGUCUUUGCAAGCAGAGAUCGUUCAUAAAACGGAACAGGGCUUCUCAAUUUCAAGGAAAGAACAAUUUAUGGACACUAUUUUUUUUUUUUACAGUUUUACUGUAAAAAAUGUGAGAUGCCACCAUGAUGUGAAAGUUCACUGGGAGUUUAUUUAAUUAGGGGUAGUCGGGGUGGAAGAACAUAGGGCUGCAGAGGGUGGAUGCCUGUUAGGAGGUGGCUGAGUGCUCCUUAGGAGCAUGGUGGCCCUGUUCCAGAUGGUGCCCAUGCUGAGGGUUGUUGUGUGACCACACCUGGAAAAGUGCUUGUAUUCCUGAAUUGUGAGAAGAAGAGUAAGUGAAGGACUUACCAGUCUGUCAAGAACUGGAAUUCUCAUGUUUUCAUGUCCCACGUUCAAUGACUCUUCUGUUUUUUCCCUUUUUUCCGAAGCUCUGGUACAUAUAAAGAUUUUUUUCUUCCAUCCCCAUUUUCAGAACCCAACCAGGAACCAGAGGUGCUAGAAAUACUUCUAAGGGAUGUCUGCAUAACCAAUUGCCCAAUUUCCCAGCCUUUAAUGGCAGCUAGUGGAAUUUGCACAUCUGUCUCUGUCUGCCAUCCUGCAAACCAGGUACAGCAAAUAACAAUGACGGAAGCAAAGUGCCCCAAACAAACCCUUUGUUAUAGAGAGGACUGAAGAGGGUUAUUUUUUUACUAUUUUAAAUUUGCCUUCAGUUUCAAGAGAUUUUAUUCUUUAUGUAACUACUUGCUGCUGAUAGAGGAGAGGACAUCAGAAGUAUGACACAGCUAAUUUUAGGACUGAGAUGAGUAACUCUUUAAUGACAUAUAUCUUUACAUAUAAAUCCCAGGUGGCCACUUGCACUGUCCACUAAACUUACAGUAUUCAGCAAGAUAAAUGUAGUUGGGGGGGAGGGGAUAAAAGAAAACCCCAACCCCAAGAAAACGCAUUAUCCAAAGUUCUCUUUGGCCCAGUCGCCUCAGCUACUCAGGCAUUGUCUCCACAAUGGCAAAAGCAGAGCCCCUCUUUGUUCCUUCCUAAUUUUCCUGCUCAAAAAGCAGUCCUGAGCUUGGUCUGACUUGUAUCGACCCGUGUUGUGGCACAGCUGAUGGCUGGGUCAUUUCUGGUGGUGUACCACUAGCCCAGAAAGGUUUUUGCUCCAUUAUAAACUGGUGGGACCCACAGACAAUGCUAUCAGUGUCUCAUCCCUAACUCAUCAGCCAGUGGGCCAGCUGAGGCUGUCAGUGCCACCACCUGGCACUGAUCUUUCUCUGGGUAGCAGCAUCCUUCCAGGCUUGUUUCUCCAGUUACUACAAAAGAGGAAGCCUUUCCUAAGCAAUUCAGGUAGUUUGUC
ensembl:lncRNA